rnacentral:rRNA from 1 species
UAGCGUAUAUUAAAGUUGUUGCGGUAAAAAAGCUCGUAGUUGGAUUUCUGUUGAGGGCGUCCGGUCGGUACCAAGUACGCGUAUCUGGGUCGCGCUCGGCAUCCUCUCGAAGAACGGUUCUCGCGCUUGAUUGCGUGGUCCGGGUUUCGGGACUUUUACUUUGAGGAAAUUAGAGUGUUCACGGCAGGCAAUUGCCCGGAUACAUUAGCAUGGAAUAAUACUAUAGGAUUUUGGUUCUAUUUUGUUGGUUUCUAGGACUAAAAUAAUGAUUAAUAGGGACAAUUGGGGGCAUUCGUAUCAACACGCU